CCCUUGGCUGCUGCCGCUGCUGCUGCUGAGUUGUAUCAACUCCCCCAGAGCCGCCUGCAGGACGCCUUCCGCAAAGCCGGAAGCCAGCGCGCCCCGUCGUUCUGAACUGAAGUCUGUGACGCGACUUGCCCCCCAGUAUGGCAUAUUGUCAUUGUCACCCCCCGGCCCGGCCAGCGCCCCCCGGCCCGGCCGCCCCUGCCCUGCCGCCCCCCCUUCGGGGCCGCUCGUGCUAAUUUAACUCGUAACGAGUCUCUAAGGUAAUUGGGGGGGGGGCUGGUGGCCCCCCCCGCCCCCAGCCCCGGACGCCUGGGGACGUCCCCGUGUCCCCAGCAGUGUCCCCAGCAAUGUCCCUCUGUCCCUUUGUCCCUCUGUCCCUUUGUCACCUCCCCUCACCUCGGGCUCUGCGUUUUUGGCAGAGCCCCCUCCCCAAAAUUGUGUCCCCUCGCCCCCCCCAUCCCCUCGUGGGUGUCACCCUCAAUGUCCCCAAGGCGGGGGACCGAGGCACGAUGUGGCUUGAUGUCCCCAAAGUCCCCCAACAAUGUCCCCAAAGUCCCCAAUUAUUUCCCCAAUAGUGUCCCCAGUAUUGUCCCAAAUUUUCCCCAAUUAUGUCCCCAGUUAUAUCCCAAAUAAUGACCCCAAGAAUGUCCCCAGUUUCCCCAAUAAUGUUCCCAAGAAUGUCUCAAAUAAUGUCCCCAAUAUCCCCAAUAAUAUCCCCAAUAUUGUCCCCAGUAAUGUCCCCAGUGAUGUCCCCAAUGAUGUCCCCACUGUCCCCAAGCCCUGGGGCUGAGGCACAAUGUGCCUCAGUGUCCCCAGUGUCCCCCAACACCCUCCAAGGGACAUCCUGGCCUGAUGUCCCCAACGUCCCCAAAGCCCCCGAUGUGCCCAACAUCCCUGAUGUCCCCAAAUGUGUCCCCAAUGUCCCCAACCCCUCGGACUGAGCCUGUUCAGCGUCCCCAGCGCCGCCAAUGUCCCCAAAGGAGGAGGACGCCGUCACCGCGCUCACGGGACCGAGUCCCCAACGUGUCCCCAACGCGUCCCCAGCGUGUCCCCAAUGUCCCCAACGCGUCCCCAAUGUCUCCCCUGGCAAUAAAAGUGUCGCCCAAUGUC